CUUAUACUCCCUCCGUCCGGAAAUACUUAUCAAAGAAAUGGAUGAAAACGGAUGUAUCCAAAACUAAAGUAAGUCUAGAUAAGUCCACUUUUAUCCAUUUAUGCGACAAGUAAUUCCAGACUGAGAGAGUACAUA
rfam:Hordeum vulgare subsp. vulgare, WGS project CAJW01000000 data, contig: morex_contig_245322